rnacentral:rRNA from 1 species
UACGUAGGGUGCGAGCGUUAAUCGGAAUUACUGGGCGUAAAGGGUGCGCAGGCGGUUUUGUAAGUCAGAUGUGAAAUCCCCGGGCUUAACCUGGGAAUUGCGUUUGAAACUGCAAGACUAGAGUGCAGCAGAGGGGAGUGGAAUUCCAUGUGUAGCAGUGAAAUGCGUAGAGAUGUGGAGGAACACCGAUGGCGAAGGCAGCCCCCUGGGUCGACACUGACGCUCAUGCACGAAAGCGUGGGGAGCAAAC